CAAUGUGGGCAUUUUUUUUUAAAACAUUUUGAUAAUUUUUGAGUCAUUUGAACAUGUUUUGUGGCAUUUUGACAUAUUUUCAGUCAUUCAGGACACGUUUCAAGUUAAUUAGCAAGUUUUUACGUCAUUUUGAGCACAUUUCAAAUCAUUUUGGACAUUUUAAGUCACUGAGCCAUUUUUGACAUGUUGUUUGAGUCACUUUGAUCAUUUAAUCGUCAUUUAGGACGGAGUCCUUUUUUUUCAUUUUUGAAGUCAUUUUAACUUGUUUCCAGUUAUUUUUGGACAGUUUUAUGACUCAACUCGAGACAUGUAUUCGAUUAUUUUGGACAUUUUUUUGGUACCUUUAGACACAUUUUGAGUGAAAUUCAAACUCGUACCAGGAAACGAAGCAGCGGUUGAACAUGUUGGUGGUCCGGUCGGGCCAGUUUCUGUGUUUAGCUUCAGUCAUGACUCGCCUAAAAAUCUUCUGUCUUUUGGGAGUUUCCUGAAUCUCCACAAAUUCAAAGGUCCAAGUUAACGUGACGCAGCAGGUUGGAACAAACUGAAAUUCUCCUUUAAGAGUUAAAAACAAGCUGCUCUUUUAAAAUCCCAGCCGACCGUAAACACGUUUAAACACGUUUAAGCUCAUCGAACUCUCAGAUUCACCGACUGUUGGUAGAAACUCGGUGUUAUCUGUGAAACCGUCCACGACCUUUAAAUCCGACGUAUGCUGGUAGUUUUUCUAGAUUUGAACUCUUCCUGCUGCAGGUUUAACCUGCAUGGAGCCGGUUUCACUAAACUGUGAGCAGUUUGGUGCCACGAAGUGUUAAAGAUCACGUUAUAUUUGUGUUUUUUGUUUUCUAACUUUUUUUUUCUCGUAACUCCGCUGUCGAAGUGACGUCUAAUCCGUCUCCGUGUGUUUGAGAUUUUCUUUGCUGUGGUUUGAAAAAGACAAAUACGUUUAAUUAAAACUCAGGCACCGACGGUUCAGGAUCUGUUGUUAGCAGACGUUUAUAACCCAAAGACCGAGACGCUGACGUGUGAUAACGCUGUUCAACACGUUCCUCCGUUUAAUUCACUGUUUUUAUGGCUGAAAUAAUAAAGACUGUUCAAACCAAA